AGCGGCGGAGGAGGAGGGGAAGCCGCCGAGGAGGAGCCGCCCCCGCUCUGGUGAUGGGGGCUGGGGAUCUCCGGGCUCUGCAGGCUGCUGAAGCCAGAGCCGAGCCCGCCGGGCAGGAGGUUCCCGGGGCUGCCCAGUACCUCAACUAUUUGCAACACAGGAAUUCCCAAAAUUUGCCUUUCCAGACCUUAGGAUCUUGGACUGAGAAUCUUGGACUCCAUGUUCCCUGAUGGUUACUGAAGCAAGACUGCCUGAAGAGGGGAGCAUGCUGGCAGAGCCAUGCCUCACCUGAGUGACUUGAAGAAGCAAGAGUGUCAUGGAGCUGGGAUGAAUUCCUUAGACUAGACAACAAACAUUACAAAUGCCAAGCCAUAUGCAAUAUCACUCUACAUAACAUGUAAAUGGAAAAAAACAGAUGUUGCAAAGUAAGCUGUCAGUAGAGUAGAACCAAAUAUACAUAAGUUAUUGUUUUUGCAGCCAUUAAUCAACCUGCUUCUGUAUAUUCAUUCCAACAAAUGUGCCAGACGUUGACUUCACCUGGGAGGCCUGUGGUAGAGCUGGGGCUGACAGCUCUCCUGGAUUUGUUGGUGCCUGAAAGACAGUGGUCAUAUUGUUCUGCAUCAUGCAAUGGGUGUUAAAUUUUGUGUGGUGAGUUUAACCAGCAAUGCUAUAGAAUGGAAAGUAGGAGGACAAAUCACAUUAACCUAUGUAAAAUAACUAUAACUGCAUAAAGACAAAAUAAACUGUAAGGGUUACAGAGCAGCUCUUCUGGCUGCCAUUUGGGUGACAUGAAAGGGAUCAUCAAGGUACUGGUUUUGCCCCUGAGUUGUUAUCAUCUCUUGUAGAAAUUGCCAUGCACAGCUUAAGUUCUUUCCUUUUAUAAACCCAGGAGAAUUGCAUCUUCUAUUGGCCAAUGUUAGGAACAGGAUAUUAUUGUAUGAGAAAGGAUUUUGGCUCACUGUUCUUUUUUUUUGGUUGAACAAUAAAACCUUUAGCAGUUAUAAGAAUGGGAUUGUACUGAGAUGCUGUGCACUUCAGAGUGGUCUGUGGGUUAAGUCCUUUUAAAAGAUCUGACUUCUUUUGUGGGGUAGGAUCCAUGCUUUGUAAUUCUCAGAUAUCACUUAAUAAGUGUUACAGUUUUUGUGAACACUCCAUAAGUCGUGAAACUUAGACAUGGUAUGUAGACUUGAUAUGUACACAGAGCUAUUUCAGCACUUCCUCAUUUUGUAAAUGGACACACUAGAAUAUUAGGAGCCGAAUGUAUACAAAACAAAAUGGCUCUGACCAGUGGUAGAAUCUGCUCUUUCCCUCCUAUUAGCCAGUUGGAAAAUCACUAUGCCUAUGCCCGUGAUUUUAAAUAUGGGUUGCAAUUAGAUAUACACAUUAGAAGUAUCUUUGCUUUCAUUCCAAUACUAAACACAGCUUUUUUGAUUAUUUUUUUGCAUGUUACAGUUAAAAGUAAGUGUUACAGAUAGUAUUGACUUCAAAAAUCUUUUUGUGGAUUGGCUCAGCAUUGUAGAGAUUCAUUGCCUGCUUGUAAUGCAACAAGUUGUUCUUUCCACAGCCCACAAUAUUUAUAGGCCUUUCACCAUUUGCAAUGAUUUACUACUCCAUUUGACCUCUUUUCCAAGGCUCUACAGCCACAAAAAAAAAAAAAAAAAAAAAAAAGAAAAAAAGAAAAAAAAAUCUGUUUCUUGUUUUCUCUUGCUGUUUCACUAUUCCUUCUUGUUUUGCAUAUCUACUUCUUUUUCCAGAGACUUAGCCCUCUCUCUUUAGGUAGCUGUCUGUCCGGCAGUGCUUGCAAGGGUUCUGCUAAAGAUCUGCCCAGUCUUCCCUGGGAUCAGGCUGUUUAGGGAAGCACACGGUCUGCUGUCCUGUGGCCUGUGACAUGUGCCUCCUUUGUUGCUCAGCCUAAACUGUGACAUGAGCUUGCAUAUGCAUUCCAGGAGCAGCACAUUGUUCUAACUGGUAACAAAAUACAUGAUUCACAUGCUUUUGCUAGUGCUGCUUCCUCUUAACCCUAAAGCUGACUUUUUGUUAAUGACAUUUUCCUCCCAUGGAAACAUGGUAAACAGUCUGGGACUGCAGGUUAUUCAUAUAGAAAAGCAGAUGAUGAGGUUUGACAUUUCACAGGAAAAAGAGGUCUGAAGAUUUAUAACAAUGUGCUCCAUUCACUGUUCUGUUCUUGAUUUUUUUAAAACUCUGAAAAUAAUAGUCAUGCACCCUUAGAAAGGAGGUAGGGAAGUCUUUUUCAGCAGUGAACAGACUGUUGAGUGACAGUAGCUUACCUUUUCUCCUGGUGGUUUUUCUCAUUAAAAAAAAAUUAAUUACCCAGCUUUAACAAAACAGGGUAAAAAAACCUUUCUUAGAUCACUGUGUGUUGAAAUGAAAUUAAAAGCAGUGGGAAAAAUUAAUACCAGUGGUUGAAAUAGUUUGCUUUGUUCUCUUAUUCCCACCCUCUUGUUAUGUUUUGGUUCCUUUGUUUUUAAGGUUAAAAAUCUUAAAAUUCACAGGCGAUGGGCAGCUUUCUUGCUUUAUUCAAAGUCUGACUUCCAUCAUGAAAGCCUGCUAAACUUGAAGGAUAUAGGUUCUGGUCACAAGAAUGCAAAGCAGCGAUCUAUUCUGUUUUUUCUCCAUUGUGCCCUGGAGUUUAACCAGCUCACUCGACGAAUAUUCUCUUGCUUGCUAGUGGCAGUUUCUGUUUCUUUUUUGUUUUGGAUUUUUUUGGUAGUGGAAGUCAUUAGACUUUCUCCCAAGAGAAUCACUGCCAAAGUAAACAAACAUCUUCAUGAAAGGAAAAUAAUGUCUAGAGUAUUCAGAAUUCCAUGUUUUACAGACAAGUAUUUGUGGCAACCAACUCGUGAAUUAAAGUGAAUGAAAUCCUAUUUCUAGUUUGCUACUUUUGCUGUGCUAAUUGAAUGUGGCAAUUUCUGCUAGCUUCUCAGCUCUGCAGUGCAAGUACUGGAUGCUAGUUAUAAUUUAGGAUGAUAUGAGAUGAAACUUGGUUUAGAAAAAGGAUUUUUUUUUUUUUUUAUUGUUGGGAAUUGAAUACUGCAUGCAAACCUCCAAGGAAUUCCUGUUGUCUCUAAAAUGUUCUGCAUGUGGUUGGCAAGAACAACAAGGAGAGAGGAAAGUUCAACUAAAAAAUUCAUAAAGGCUGUCUGGUGGAAUGCAUUACAGUCAUCUGUAUACCUCUGUGCUCUUAUUCCUCUGGACUGAUAAUUUUUAGCUGAGAUGAGACCUGAUGAACAGGAGGCUGGCAGAUUUGCAGCAUAGAUUGUUUGAAGGUUUAAAUACUGUGACUAUCUCAGCUUACUGUAAGUCUGUAGAUAUAAUGUAAGCUGGAGUUGCUGAAAAGUGAUAGAAUGGCUCAUGUGAACAGCCAAAUAAAUCUGUGAAGAGCUUAUUUUGUGCAUUGCAGAAUUCUGCACUCUUUCUCUAUCUUCCUACAGGAUAGCAAUAAUUCACCAGUGGAGCAAAGCCACUUCAAAUUUGUUGACGAUGAGACCAUAUCUAGUUCUUUGUUUAGGCAGUGGCUUUCACAAAGGGCACCAGUGCUAACUGGGAACUGCUGCCAGCACCAUCAUAUGUUUCUUGACAAAUGCAAAGUGUUCAAAAAGUUGGCACUACAAAAUAGAGAUACUGUCAAUCUUUGUUUAAUUCUCAAAAUGGCUUUUAAGCUUUUAAAGCUUGUGUUGUUGCUGGUGCACUUGCAUAUCAGAUAACAUUUUUGACAGCCCUUAUAAUAUGGCUGGUUAAUUUGGUCAGAUUACUGGAACAUAAACCAAAAUUUUGUGAGUGCUAAGAUUUCACUGCUGGUUUUUCCUGUGUCCUGUGAGCAGAAGAAGGGUUUGUGCAGCAGUGUGUGCUACUAUAGCCAGAAUACAGUAUUUUCUCAUCUCCUUUUCUAUUCACUGUGCAGAUGCAGCUGCCACUAUUUACCAAACAUGAAGGUGUUGUUCACAGCUCUGUGAGUAAGUUUGGGUUCUGCUUUACAGAAUGCAGGAGACACCUCUACUAAUUGCACACAUGUUCAGCCUAUAUUUAUGUACCUGAAUGUUGUGGUGUAGGAGGCAAAUUUAAAUUUUAGGGUAUUAUUUCAGUGAUCAUUGGCUAGGUCUCCAGAAGCUUAUGGAUUGUAUAAUGUGCUAGGAAUAACUGUGUGGUUCUUCCAGUGAUAGAAUAAUGUGCUCUGAAGGGUGAAAUACUCUAGUGUGACUGCAUGUAGAAGACGAGGUAGGAGACACAGGGAAACUCUGAACAUUUUUGGGCAAGGAGGCUUUGAAGUAGCAUUCAUUGAGUCCUGUAGGUAGCCCUGAUCUCAGAAUGCAGCGGGACGAAGCAAGUAUGUGUCUGUAGCUACUAGGUCUGCCCCCCUGGAGGAAUGUACAGAUCAUGUAGGAACUGAAACAGAAGGAGUAUAUGUUUGUACCUCAGCAGUCUAUUUAAAAAGUGCUUUCAAUUGCUACCAGAAAAUUUGUUAAAGCUUACUGAUUAAACUCAAAAAAAGUAAUAGAGGAACAGGUUCCCCUUCUGAACCAUGGCAUCUGUGUUGUACGAAAACCAAAGGCAACGUAUCUGAUUUAUAUGUGAAAAUACAUUCUCUCAUACUUGACCUUAUUUUCUCUUUGAGUGUAAGAUGGAUGCUCACUAAUUUUACACCACCACCCACUGUUUCAGUAAAAUUAUUUUCAACA